rnacentral:tmRNA from 1 species
GGGGGCGUACUGGCUUCGACGUGGGUAGGGAACUAAAAGUUGCAUGCCGAGGUCCUGUCUGCUCGUAAAACAGGUAGGGACUAUACAACUGCCGACAAUUACGGCUACGCUUUAGCCGCUUAAGGCUAACGCCUGAAGAAGCUAGCCGGGAGGAUUCUUCAGGUGACGGCAUUCCGGCUAGAUCACUACUGAUGUCUGCGCUCUAGUGAUCGAAACCUUAGUGGGCUAGCGUAUCGGGCAUUCUGCCGGCGGAAGGCCUGAUAGGUGAAAGAAAUACACUGGCUAAGCAUGUAGACGCUUUUAGGGACUAUUUGCGGACGCGGGUUCGAUUCCCGCCGCCUCCACCA